CCCCAUGCAUCAUUAUCUUGUGGCCUAUUUAGCUAUGAGAGGCAGUGAGGGAUAUUGAUGUUUUGCAAUUCCUCUCUCUCUCUAGAUUGAAGUGGAGAGCUCGUGGAGGCCACAGUUGAGCUUGGAGCGACGUCAACUUCGCGCCGGCGAUCUGUUGGAGCGUGUGUGCGUCGUGGUAGUGCCGUUGGAGGCCGAGCGAGCAUGGAAAGUUCUUCUCCUAUCGACUUUUCACUGUUCUGGAUUAGCUUUUGAGAGCCUUCUGUUCCGGCGGCUGCAGCUUCUGAGACCGAUCGAGGGAAGGGUGUCGCGAGCUAGAGCCCUACCUGACUAGUCGCCGUGCUAGAGGAUCCCCAGUUGCAGGUAGUAGAGUUUUAUUUUUCGAUAUUAUGUACAUACUGAUACUGAACUCGCUGGAGCGAGUGGUUUGUACUUUGUAUAGUAUGUAUACAUUUGAGA